GUCAGUUAUGUACGAUAUCCACUAAGAACACCUCAAACUGUUCAUGAGUCAACUGGUUCUUCCACCAGCAGUACUACUCGUAGAAAUUCAAUCGAGAACAGCAACAAGAAAAAUGAUCCUGCAAUGUUUCGUAAGCUGGAUCGCAAGAAGCCAAAUGAUCAAAAACUAAACAUUGCAGUUUCUCUGCCUCCAAUUCUUGUCUCUAACAAUGAAGAUCAUCUCAAGCUUAAACCAGUGACGAAACACGUCAUCUUCAAUGAAAUUUCAGAUGAAAAAAUGCACGAAUCACUAUAUCAUGAAGAAAGGUCAAGCUCCAAAGUUGCAGAGAUCAUUGACAACUACAGUAUCAACUUAAUCCAACAAGAAUCCGAGGACUUAUAUGUGAUCCGCAAUCAGCUUCUUCAAAUCAAAACCCAACAGUCCAAUUAAUUCGAUCUCCUCAAGAAAUAUAUUCGGAGCUCACAGAAUGGGAUAUGAUCAUUGGAGUCUCGUGUACACGGACUCGAGUCAACACUUGAUGAAAUUUCAUUUGAUUUGGCAAAGUCAACCGGAAGAAUCUCAAAUCCCGAAACUACCCUCGGAUACUAAAGCCUCUCCCAAAUCAGAAGUGUAACUGUUAUUCUUGGCUCUGAUUUCUGCUUCUCCAGUUUUGAGGAAUUAAACCGAAAACUCAAAGCCUAUGAAAGGUGAUCGUACCUGUAUUAGCAGCUAAACAAACAUUUUAGGUUCUGCAGUUUUAUAACUCAAAAGUUGAUGUUUUUUUGUUCAUUAUUAAUUGAAAGUAGAUGCUUAAUUGCAGCAUUUGAAUGUCGAAACAAUUAAUGACCAUUUUACCCUUUUUUUUCUGGAAUUAAACUUAAAUACAACUGACAAUAAAAUUAACCCUUAAUUCAUGUUUUUUUUUCAUCAUCUAAAUGUAUGCCUUAUUUCACAUUUUUUGGCAGAUAAAAUUGCGGUCAAAGUCAACUAAUUAUAUUGUUAAAAUGAUUGCUUUUUCGCUUUCCCACUUAAGGAGACAUGGUCAAGACCUCCAAUCUUCGCUAACUAAGGAUAUGAACUUUUUGUGAGCCAGUUGAAGAUAUGUAGGGUUGCAUGGUGCGAAAUACAAAAUGGAUGUCACAACUUUUUAAAAUUUAUGUUAUAAAUUGUUGGCAGGAACAAUUAAGUGAUGAAAAAUUUAAGGCAAAAGAAGAAGAUGAAGAUUCAGCUCAAAAAAUGGCCAGAGUUAUACAAAGAAUA